CGGUUGAUCCUGCCGGACCCCACUGCUAUCGGGAUAGGACUAAGACAUGCUAGUCGUGCGUCUCCUAGCUACGAUGGAGGCGCGGCGGACAGCUCAGUAACACGUGGCUAACCUGCCCUUAGGACAGGAAUAACCCCGGGAAACUGGGAUUAAUUCCUGAUAGGUGAAGAACUCUGGAAUGGGUCUUCGUCUAAAGGGCGUCUAGCUCAUGCGCCUAGACGUUGCCUGAGGAUGGGGCCGCGUCCGAUCAGGUUGUUGGUGAGGUAAUGGCCCACCAAGCCUAUAACCGGUGCGGGCCGUGAGAGCGGGAGCCCGGAGAUGGGCACUGAGACAAGGGCCCAGGCCCUACGGGGCGCAGCAGUCGCGCAAACUUUGCAAUACACGAAAGUGUGACAAGGCUAUCCCGAGUGCCGUCCGCUGAGGAUGGCUUUUACUCAGUAUAAAAGGCUGAGAGAAUAAGGAGAGGGCAAGACUGGUGUCAGCCGCCGCGGUAAUACCAGCUCUCCGAGUAGUGUGGAUGUUUAUUGGGCCUAAAGCAUCCGUAGCUGGCUGGACAAGUUCUCUGUUAAAUCCACCGAUUUAAUCGUUGGAUUGCGGGGGAUACUGUUCGGCUAGGGGGCGGGAGAGACCGAC
rnacentral:rRNA from 1 species